GUGGGGAAUCUUAGACAAUGGGGGAAACCCUGAUCUAGCCAUGCCGCGUGAGCGAUGAAGGCCUUAGGGUUGUAAAGCUCUUUCAGCUGGGAAGAUAAUGACUGUACCAGCAGAAGAAGCCCCGGCUAACUCCGUGCCAGCAGCCGCGGUAAUACGGAGGGGGCUAGCGUUGUUCGGAAUUACUGGGCGUAAAGCGCACGUAGGCGGACUGGAAAGUCAGGGGUGAAAUCCCGGGGCUCAACCCCGGAACUGCCUUUGAAACUCCCAGUCUUGAGUUCGAGAGAGGUGAGUGGAAUUCCGAGUGUAGAGGUGAAAUUCGUAGAUAUUCGGAGGAACACCAGUGGCGAAGGCGGCUCACUGGCUCGAUACUGACGCUGAGGUGCGAAAGCGUGGGGAGCAAACAGGAUUAGAAACCCGAGUAGUCC
rnacentral:rRNA from 1 species